AUUGAACGCUGGCGGCAUGCCUUACACAUGCAAGUCGAACGGUAACAGGUCUUCGGAUGCUGACGAGUGGCGAACGGGUGAGUAAUACAUCGGAACGUGCCUAGUAGUGGGGGAUAACUACUCGAAAGAGUGGCUAAUACCGCAUGAGAUCUACGGAUGAAAGCAGGGGAUCGCAAGACCUUGUGCUACUAGAGCGGCCGAUGGCAGAUUAGGUAGUUGGUGGGAUAAAAGCUUACCAAGCCGACGAUCUGUAGCUGGUCUGAGAGGACGAUCAGUCACACUGGGACUAGGACACGGCCCAGACUCCUACGGGAGGCAGCAGUGGGGAAUUUUGGACAAUGGGCGCAAGCCUGAUCCAGCAAUGCCGCGUGCAGGAUGAAGGCCUUCGGGUUGUAAACUGCUUUUGUACGGAACGAAAAGCCCUGGGUUAAUACCCUGGGGUCAUGACGGUACCGUAAGAAUAAGCACCGGCUAACUACGUGCAGCAGCCGCAGUAAAAC
rnacentral:rRNA from 1 species